UGAGGUAGUCGGUUGUAAAGAUAAGAAAUACACCUGAAGGCGAUAUCUAUACAACCCACUAACUUUCC
rnacentral:pre_miRNA from 1 species